AUUGAACGCUGGCGGCAGGCCUAACACAUGCAAGUCGAACGAGUGGCGGACGGGUGAGUAAUGUCUGGGAAACUGCCUGAUGGAGGGGGAUAACUAAUGGAAACGGUAGCUAAUCCCGCAAACAGUCGGAUGUGACCGGAGUGGAUUGGCUAGUAGGUGGGGUAAAGGCUAACCUAGGGGACGAUCCCUAGCUGGUCUGAGAGGAUGACCAGCCACACUGGAACGUAGACACGGGCCAGACUCCUACGGGAGGCAGCAGUGGGGAAUAUUGCACAAUGGGCGCAAGCCUGAUGCAGCCAUGCCGCGUGUAUGAAGAAGGCCUUCUGGUUGUAAAGUACUUUCAGCGGGGAGGCGUUACCCGCAGAAGAAGCACCGGCUAACUCCGUGCCAGCAGCCGCGGUAAUAC
rnacentral:rRNA from 1 species